UUAAAAUGAAUUCUUAGCAGUGGCAGUAUUGUAGAGAUUUUAUUUUAAAGGGUGAGUAUAAAAGAAGUAUUUGGUUUCUGCUUAUUCUGAAAACAAGAAGGACUUAUUUGUGUUUUCUUUUCACAGGGAAAGGACUGGGCACCUUAGAAACUUGACAUUUUGAUAUCUCAGGACGGCUGGAUCUCAGCUUUCAUGCAUAAAUUUACCAGGAGAAGUACCACUAUAAUUCCAGAGUUAAAUGAUGGUGUUUACCCCUUGUCAAAUGAAUGGAGCCUAGGAGGAAGUCAGGAGAGAACUAGCAUUUUGCUAACAAGAAACCAGAAUUGUGUAUAAGAGAAGAAGUCUUGUGGUAAAUUCCUUGCAUAUUUUCCUACUGCUUUGUCCAGAACUGUCAGAGUCUGGUCAUAGACAGCAGAGAUAUCAAAUUGCUAAUAGCUGGGAUAGGACUGCUGUCCUAGUUCAGUUUGAAGUAACCUGCAGCAGGUUUUCUGGCAACCACUCUCCUGUUAGCUGGAAAACUCAUCUCUUCUGAAACAGCAUUCAGACUCUAUUCAGUAACUGUAGCUAAUGCUUCAAACCUGUGUGAAAGGAAGAGUGACAUUUAACUUCAGAUGAAGUUAAAUAUCAGAUAGGGUUAUUCUGCAGCAUUGACAACAAUAUUGCAGGAGUCUGGAGUCCAGAAAGUAAAACUGUGGUAAGAAAAUAAUGACACCAGAAUGGAGGAAUAGGUCAGAAAAGAUUUCAAAGUAUUUAAAGGAAACCAAGGCUUGUACACCUUGAAAGAGACACAUGACAAGGUGCUUGGUUUGGUUUGGUUUUGGUUUUUUUGUUGUUUUUUUGUCCUGAAACUUUCUGUUCUCACUGAUACAAAAAGAUAUCAAGGCACUAAACCAAGCAAUGCAGAGAUGUCUGAGAAGAAUUAGAUGAACCAAAAUUAAUAUUGGUUCACAUGCUUAACAGUGAAUGUGUAACUAAAUAACAUAAAAAGCUGCAGAAAAAGAUGAGGAAAUUUGAGUCCCCCUGAAGAGUAGAAGACAGCUUAAUGCUGUGAAAGGCUAAGAGUGGGCAUGUUAGUUGUUUGACUCUCCUAAGAGAAACCUUUGUUUUAAGAGAACAAAAAUGGAGGAAAUAUAUGGUAGUGAUUUUUGAAAAGCAAAACUCUUGGGGAAAUUGGAAUUUAGACAGAAAAAAGCAUCUUUUUUUCACCAAAUAUAAAGCCAUUUUAAAGAAUGGGAAUUUAAGGUAAACUUCAACUGCAAAACAUCAGUUAGAUCUUUGCCUCACUAGGUAACUGUAAGUACAAUUAUUCUACUUAUGCAGUUAUUCACUAUGUUUUUGUACAUUCUGUUCUGAACUUCUUUCUGUCACUAAAUUUUGAUUCUGUCCCUUGAAGGUUUUACACUGAAACAUUUAGUCAACAUGUAUUUAAUAUUCAACUGAUUUUUCUCAACCAAGUCCUACACUAUAAUUUCCAAUUAUUCUUGCCCUAUAAUGAUCUAUAGACUUCCUCUCCACAAUCUGUCUUGCUGUUUGCAUGCUGGUCCAUAUAUUUUUCCAUCAAGACACAAGCAAAGGCAGCACAAAAACUGAACCUGCAGUCAUUACUUGGCAAAAUUAGUAAGUAUUUACCUCCUUAUAUUCUCCUCUUCUUUUUAAAAAAAUGUUAUGUUUGGCUUUUCUGCAGUUUUAAAAAUAGAAGAACGAGAACCCUAUAAAUCUUAUCAAUUAAGUAUUAACAAGCAAAAAAUAAAGAAAGGGAGAAAUUACAACUAUUUUGAUGGAUGAAAAUAUUUCAUGUAUUAUCUUAUAACAGUUAUAGAUCCAUCUACAAGGUUAUUGUUUUGGCAAUAGCAGGGACCACAUGGUAGGGAGAAAACUGCCCAGAACAUGACAAUAGAUCCACCUCUCCAUGCAAAAAAUUUCUCUUUGAGUGAGUUAUCCUAUUAAACCCAGAACUAGGAAAAAUUUCUAAUGGUAGUUUUGCAUCUAUUUUAUGUAGGAGUCAAGAACAAGAAAUGUAACACCUCUCUAGCUACUUUUUCUGCCCUGUAUCUUGUGCCUUUUACCUUAUCUAUAUCUAUUUGGGCCUAAAAUGGUUUUGGUAAUGCCAGCAACAUUGACAAGCAGAAAAGAGCAUGAGAGGUGUGUCAAGAGGAAAUUACAAUAAUACAACUUUGUGAUUUUGAACCCUCUGCCUUGCCCAAGCAACAAUGGCUUUUCACCAAGAAGGUUAAAUUUUCAACAGCAAUGAUUAGAAAUCAAAUUCUUUCAUUAUGAACAGUUAUUCUCUGGGUCAUUUAUAUAUCUAGUACAAGCUGUGCAAACUGAAUAUGUCAGGAAGCAUAUGUAUUACAGAGUACUUCCAGUAUUCUCAGUCCAGGUUACAACCACUUAACAAGGUGUUUUUGUCUUUGUAGACGUGAAAACAGGAAAAAGAUUUUCUAGAAAGUAUGCUUGGACCAAUGAAAUGUUUCAGAUGGUCUGAGGUGACUAUUGUUGUUUUGCAGGGAUGAUAAAAAGACAAGGUUUUGUAUAUUACAAUGCUUGAAUUCUUGCAGAACUCUUUGUUAUGUAAGGAGCUGCAAGAUUAAGUCAUAACAAUAACAUUGUUGUAGUAAUUUAAAAUAAAUAUUCUUGCAAGUUUGAUAAUAAAUUGAUGCUUAGCUAGUAAAAAUAAAGUGUAAUUUAUUAGAAUAUUUGGUUUAAAAAUGAUUAGAAAAUGCAUAUGACAAGACUAUCAAGAUAAAUCUAAAAUAAAUCAGCCAGUAUUCAAGUAAGUGUAAGACCUUUUCCCAGAGUUAUAUUUCCAGAUACUGGGCCAUUCCCUGUGCUGACCUAGCAAAGUUUCAGAGGUCUUAAAAACCCAGCAAGUUAGAGAAGUCCUGUUUCUGCAAGGUGAAAUCAGAGAGUUUGAAGUAGGAACUUGCUACUGCUGGAUGACAAUGGAAAAGGUAGAAAAGGCAACACUUUGUCCAACUCUAUCUUUGUAAUCCACUUUAGCUCAAAAUAUCACAAACUUCAAAAUAACACUAUUUUGCAUGCCUCUUCUUAAAAAUACUGAUCAGAUUAGAAUGUAGAAGAACAUUAUGAAAAUUAAAUUUCUCAUAAAGACAAUGGAAUCAAACCCCAUAAACCUUUAAGAAGUUAUUUGGAACAAGAUACUGAAGACUUUUAAGAAAAAAAACAAAAGACCUGCCAUUUUAUACAUUAAAACAUAGACUUCUCUUUUGCAAGAAUAAUGAGAAUACAUUCCUACAAGAGGUGAGAAAUACGUAUCCCUCCUAAAAACAAAUGAAAACAACCCAAAUAAGAGACUAAAACCAGAAAACUAGACUAAUUCUUAACAAAACUACUUUUAAGGAAAAAAUCGAUCCAACAUAACCCUCCUACCCUAGAGUGAGACUUCCACAGGGGUGGAGCCCAAA